AGUGAACGCUGGCGGUAGGCCUAACACAUGCAAGUCGAACGGCAGCACAGUAAGAGCUUGCUCUUACGGGUGGCGAGUGGCGGACGGGUGAGGAAUACAUCGGAAUCUACUUUUUCGUGGGGGAUAACGUAGGGAAACUUACGCUAAUACCGCAUACGACCUACGGGUGAAAGCAGGGGAUCUUCGGACCUUGCGCGAUUGAAUGAGACGAUGUCGGAUUAGCUAGUUGGCGGGGUAAAGGCCCACCAAGGCGACGAUCCGUAGCUGGCCUGAGAGGAUGAUCAGCCACACUGGAACUGAGACACGGUCCAGACUCCUACGGGAGGCAGCAGUGGGGAAUAUUGGACAAUGGGCGCAAGCCUGAUCCAGCCAUACCGCGUGGGUGAAGAAGGCCUUCGGGUUGUAAAGCCCUUUUGUUGGGAAAGAAAAGCAGCAGGUUAAUACCCCGCUGUUCUGACGGUACCCAAAGAAUAAGCACCGGCUAACUUCGUG
rnacentral:rRNA from 1 species